GGCAGGCGGUUAGGCUGCAACACUGGCAGUGUUGAGGUCGGCGGUUCGAUCCCGCCUAGCUCCACCA
rnacentral:tRNA from 1 species